rnacentral:rRNA from 1 species
CUUGAAACUGGGAGACUUGAGUGCAGGAGAGGAGAGUGGAAUUCCUAGUGUAGCGGUGAAAUGCGUAGAUAUUAGGAGGAACACCAGUUGCGAAGGCGGCUCUCUGGACUGUAACUGACGCUGAGGCCCGAAAGCGUGGGGAGCAAACAGGAUUAGAUACCCUGGUAGUCCACGCUGUAAACGAUGAGUACUAGGUGUCGGGGGUUACCCCC